rnacentral:sRNA from 1 species
CAGUGGUGGAGCAGCUGACCCAAGAGUUCUGCGAGCGCAUGAGAGCCCAGGCCGGCACCCCUGUGGCCAUUGAGGAGGAAUUCUCUCUCCUCACCUGUAGCAUCAUCUGUUACCUCACCUUCGGAGACAAGAUCAAGGAGGACAACUUAAUGCCUGCCUAUUACAAAUGUAUCCAGGAGGUGUUAAAAACCUGGAGCCACUGGUCCAUCCAAAUUGUGGAUGUGAUUCCCUUUCUCAGGGUGAGGACCUGGAGCCUAGACACCCCUGGGUUGUGGGGAAAGCUGGGGUAGAGGGAGAGGCUUCUUCCCACAGCUGCAUUCUCAUGCUUCCCACCGCAGUUCUUCCCCAAUCCAGGUCUCCGGAGGCUGAAGCAGGCCAUAGAGAGGAGGGACCACAUCGUGGAGAAGCAGCUGAGGCAGCACAAGGUGGGGACUGUGCGUGGACGGCCUCCCCUCGGCCCACAGCCAGUGAUGCUACCGGCCUCGGCAUUGCUACGAGGCGGGUUCUUUUGCAUAUCCCAGUUAUGGGCCUGUUGCCACUCUGUACUCCUCUCCCCAGGCCA